UACGAAGGGAGCUAGCGUUGUUCGGAAUCACUGGGCGUAAAGCGCACGUAGGCGGAUUUGUCAGUCAGGGGUGAAAUCCCGGGGCUCAACCUCGGAACUGCCUUUGAUACAGCAAGUCUUGAGUUCGAGAGAGGUGGGUGGAAUUCCUAGUGUAGAGGUGAAAUUCGUAGAUAUCAGGAGGAACACCAAUGGCGAAGGCAGCUCGCUGGGACGGUACUGACGCUGAGGCGCGAAAGCGUGGGGAGCAAACAGG
rnacentral:rRNA from 1 species